rnacentral:ncRNA from 1 species
UCGUUACGAGGGCGGAACAGGCAGCCGCCACCUCCGAGCAAUCGGAACAGGAGAUGCAGGGUACGCCGUCCUGCCACGACGC